CCUACGGGUGGCUGCAGUGAGGAAUAUUGGUCAAUGGGCGCGAGCCUGAACCAGCCAAGUCGCGUGAAGGAUGACUGCCCUACGGGUUGUAAACUUCUUUUAUAAAGGAGUAAAGUGAGGCACGCGUACCUUUAUGUAUGUACUGUAUGAAUAAGGAUCGGCUAACUCCGUGCCAGCAGCCGCGGUAAUACGGAGGAUUCGAGCGUUAUCCGGAUUUAUUGGGUUUAAAGGGAGCGUAGACGGGUUGUUAAGUCAGUUGUGAAAGUUUGCGGCUCAACCGUGAAAUUGCAUUUGAUACUGGCAGUCUUGAGUGUAGUUGAGGUAGGCGGAAUUUGUGGUGUAGCGGUGAAAUGCUUAGAGAUCAUGAAGAACACCGAUUGCGAAGGCAGCUUACUAAGCUGCCACUGACGUUGAUGCUCGAAAGUGUGGGUAGCAAACAGGAUUAGAUACCCGAGUAGUC
rnacentral:rRNA from 1 species